rnacentral:rRNA from 1 species
GAUGAACGCUGGCGGCGUGCUUAACACAUGCAAGUCGAGCGAAGCACUUUACUUGGAUUUCUUCGGAAUGACGAGUAUUGUGACUGCGGUGGACGGGUGAGUAACGCGUGGGUAACCUGCCUCAUACAGGGGGAUAACAGUUAGAAAUGACUGCUAAUACCGCAUAAGACCACAGCACCGCAUGGUGCAGGGGUAAAAACUCCGGUGGGAUGAGAUGGACCCGCGUCUGAUUAGCUGGUUGGUGGGGUAACGGCCUACCAAGGCAACGAUCAGUAGCCGGCCUGAGAGGGCGACCGGCCACAUUGGGACUGAGACACGGCCCAAACUCCUACGGGAGGCAGCAGUGGGGAAUAUUGCACAAUGGGGGAAACCCUGAUGCAGCGACGCCGCGUGAAGGAAGAAGUAUUUCGGUAUGUAAACUUCUAUCAGCAGGGAAGAAAAUGACGGUACCUGACUAAGAAGCCCCGGCUAACUACGUGCCAGCAGCCGCAGUAA